UAUCUCUUAUAGUCACAGCCUACGACAGUGGACUGAACUCUCCGACCAUCUCUUAUAGUCACAGCCUACGACAGUGGACUGAACUCUCCGACCAUCUCUUAUAGUCACAGCCUACGACAGUCUUACAGACAUGUUUUGCUGUGUCACAUGGUGAAGUGGGAGAGGGGUUUAGACAGUGGACUGCUGUGUCACAUGGUGGAGUGGGAGAGGGGUUUAGACAGUGGACUGCUGUGUCACAUGUUGGAGUGGGAGAGGGGUUUAGACAGUGGACUGCUGUGUCACAUGGUGGAGUGGGAGAGGGGUUUAGACAGUGGACUGCUGUGUCACAUGGUGGAGUGGGAGAGGGGUUUAGACAGUGGACUGCUGUGUCACAUGGUGGAGUGGGAGAGGGGUUUAGACAGUGGACUGCUGUGUCACAUGGUGGAGUGGGAGAGGGGUUUAGACAGUGGACUGCUGUGUCACAUGGUGGAGGGGGGUUUAGACAGUGGACUGCUGUGUCACAUGGUGGAGUGGGAGAGGGGUUUAGACAGUGGACUGCUGUGUCACAUGGUGGAGUGGGAGAGGGGUUUAGACAGGGGACUGCUGUGUCACAUGGUGGAGUGGGAGAGGGGUUUAGACAGUGGUGUAAAGUACUUCAGUAAAAAUACUUGAAAGUACUAAAGUAGUUUUUGGGGGGUAUUGUUAUAUAAAUAAUCUAAUAUCAAGCGUUACUAGCAGACCAAAGCUCUGGUUAAACCGGAUGCCCUCAGAUAACUCUGGGCCCAGUGUCCUCAGUCAAGUUUAGAGCCUGUGUGCAAUAACAUGAUUAUCCGAAGGACACACAGCUGCCAUCACGCAAAUAUACUCCCUGUAAAACUACAAAGAGCAGCCUGCAACAAUAACGAGCUUAGAAGUGCCAAGCUAUCUAACUGACAUUGAACCCUACAUGCACUCCUGCAUAAACAGGAAACACCUGAGCCUAAAGCAGACAUUACCAGUCCCUAAAUCCACGCUUCAUUGACACACAUACAUCUCAUGAAGCACUGUACACUCACAUUCUACCCCCCCCCCCUACUGGUCGGGUGCCAAGAGCAAAGGACUUUGCUGUGCACCAAUGGGGCCCGCUCUGGCUAGAGCAAGGCCCGCCUCCAACUCUUCAGGACCAGUCAGAAGACCAACACGACGAGACUCCACCUACAUUAUUCUGUGUAUACAUUCUGCUGUAAACUCUGGCUGAGCAGCCUAAUUAUUCUGACUCUUCACAGAGUCGCAUUGCUUAGGUCCGUGCACAAUAAACGGCAGGACAAGAUAUCUUUGACCAAUAAAUUGCCUUUUUGAUACACCUGA